rnacentral:rRNA from 1 species
GUGGGGAAUUUUGGACAAUGGGCGCAAGCCUGAUCCAGCAAUGCCGCGUGCAGGAAGAAGGCCUUCGGGUUGUAAACUGCUUUUGUACGGAACGAAACGGUCCGGGUUAAUACCCUGGGCUAAUGACGGUACCGUAAGAAUAAGCACCGGCUAACUACGUGCCAGCAGCCGCGGUAAUACGUAGGGUGCAAGCGUUAAUCGGAAUUACUGGGCGUAAAGCGUGCGCAGGCGGUUUUGUAAGACAGGCGCGAAAUCACCGGGCUCAACCUGGGAAUUGCUCUUGUGACUGCAAGGCUGGAGUGCGGCAGAGGGGGAUGGAAUUCCGCGUGUAGCAGUGAAAUGCGUAGAUAUGCGGAGGAACACCGAUGGCGAAGGCAAUCCCCUGGGCCUGCACUGACGCUCAUGCACGAAAGCGUGGGGAGCAAACAGGAUUAGAAACCCUUGUAGUCC